CUCUUGCUUAAUAAAACCAGUAUAUUCAGUCUGGAAGGAAAUGAAGUUCUGCAAGUAAUGAAGUUCCAGGAACAAAAAAGAUUAAAAAACAUAAAUAAAUAUAAAAUAAAGCACAUUAAACAAAGUGGAAGAAGACCUACAUAGAGAAAGAAAAAAAAGCUCCUUUUUUACUACAUUGACACACAUGCAUGCAGAUAUACAAACAAGUCACAGUUCAAAAAUUAAACUUUAAAGAGUCCAAGACUUCAAAAUUGGGUCUAUAAAGUACUAGAAAUUUAAUAGGGAAACUCAUUAUUGGUGCAAUUAAAAUUGUAAAUAAAAUCGACCCAAAAAAGUUGUUUAUCAAAUUAAUAGCUCGAGAUUAUUAAAGAAUAUCCCACUUCUUAAUCAAACAAACCCUAAACCCUAAGAGAAGGCAAAAGGAAAACCAGCGUUCUGUUAUUAAUUUCAAUCAAACAAUCUAAGCAUGAGGAGUCCAUUUUGCAUUUCAAUAGAGAGGAUACUACCAAUUUAAUAUAAAGCUAACACAUACGAUGUCUUGUCUUCUGGUAUUUCGCGAAAAAUAUGAAGCUUGGUUUGGAGUUGGGAAAAAAUGCAGCAGUGACUAUUCAAGGAGCCGUUCGGAGGGAUCUAUUCCAGUUUUGAGAAUAAAGGAAAUGGUGUACGAUUUUAUACAAAAACGGAUCACGUGAUGUUAAAACACCAUAUUCAUAUUUACCAACAAAAAAAAAGGACCAUAUUCAUGCUCAAGUUUUGUGGGUUAGCGUCUUCCUUUUUCGUUUUUGUGUUAAUCGGGUAUUUUAGA
rnacentral:lncRNA from 1 species